rnacentral:lncRNA from 1 species
UGAUAUUUUAACCGGACGGAUUCACCUUCGAUAGCCGGGCCUCACAGCUUUACCCCUCUGGGCCUUCGGCCCAAAAGGCACCUCUUGAGGGGGAGGAGAGCCUCCAAAUCUUAUAAAGCGAGGUAUCCCUGACUCAUUAUCUAAUAUAGGACCCCUCUGGGCCUUCGGCCCAAAAGGUGCCUCUUGAGAGAGAGGAGAGCCUCCAAACCUUAUAAGGCGAAGGUGUCUCUGAUUCAUUAUCUGAUAUAGGAUCCCUCUGGGCCUUCGGCCCAAA